AUGCCGGAUCCUCGUCCUCGCCGCCGCCGCCGCAGACGCCGGAUCCUCGUCCUCGCCGCCGCCGCCGGCUCCUCGUCUUUGCUGCCGCCGCCUCCUCGUCCUGGCCGCCGCCGUUCCUUUUUGCAGGAUCCCACGUCGAGCGACUACUGGAGGCUCGCCGCGACUGGAUAUCGCGACGGUGGGGGACGCUGGUCCGCGAGUAGACGAGGUCAUGACGAGCGCCGCGCGACCUGGAUCUCGUGGCAUCGGUUGGAGCAAGAUCAAGGAAUGGCAGCAGAAUCCAGAUCGGCCAUGCCCAUUGUUGGUUUCUUCUGUUCGUCUGGUCCCUGUCAACAUCCUUGUGAGCAAUAA
rnacentral:rRNA from 1 species